CUCCCAGACUCCUACGGGAGGCAGCAGUGGUUCCUCUUGCACAAUUUGCUCAAGCCUGCUGCAGCCAUGCCGCGUGUCUGAAGAAGGCCUUCGGGUUGUACCGUACUUUCAGCGGGGCGGAAGGCGAUCCGGUUAAUAACCUUGUUGAUUGACGUUACCCGCAGAAGAAGCACCGGCUAACUCCGUGCCAGCAGCCGCGGUAAUACGGAGGGUGCAAGCGUUAAUCGGAAUUACUGGGCGGAAAGCGCACGCAGGCGGUCUGUCAAGGCGGAUGUGAAAUGCCCGGGCUCAACCGGGGAACUGCAUUCGAAACUGGCAGGCUGGAGUCGGGGAGAGGGGGGGAGAAUUCCAGGUGGAGCGGUGAAAUGCGGAGAGAUCUGGAGGAAGACCGGUGGCGAAGGCGGCCCCCUGGACAAAGACUGACGCGCAGGUGCGAAAGCGGGGGGAGCAAACAGGAGGAGAUACCCUUGUACU
rnacentral:rRNA from 1 species